AGGGCUAUAGUUAAUUAUAACAUUUGGGUUGCAUUCAAAAAGUACUGAGAAGUUGGCCUUA
rnacentral:tRNA from 1 species